GUUCAUCGUAUUGGGUAGGAUUCUUAUUUUCAUAUUCUUAUUGUGUCUCCACUGGAGUGAAAAGGUGUGGGAAGGGUGGGGGUGAGGCAGGGCAACAUUUAUGACAGUGUGACUCUGAGUUACUGUAGAAGGAUUCUGCCAUAUGAUAGGAAGAAAAUUUAGAAAAGAAAAGGCCCAGCAAUGACACGCUUCAAUUUCUUUCUCUGUCAUCACUUAAUUGUUUUGCUUUGCUUUUCUCUGACAUUCGUUAAGAAAAAUACAUUGUUAUUUUGAGAACUCACAAAUUUCUCUCCUUGCGUUGAUGAAUGAAGGUUUGGUAUCAGAGGAAUUUCCUUCAAAAAGCAACUCCUUUAGAGAAAAUGCCAUUGUCACUAGAGGAAAAAGAGAUUGCAUGUAAUUAAAGGAUAUGUAACAGAGUAUAUACAUUCUAAGACCUUGCAUAAGAAUUAAAAAACAAACAAACAAUCAGUUGAAUUUCCCUUAAAUGGAGGUCAGUUUCUGAAGAAUAAACAACAGUUUCUUUUCUCUUAUGUUAUCCUGUGAUUCAUUUUAGCUUCAACCAGGCCCAGGGGCAACUGUUAAGGUAAGUAGAGGCCCAGAAGGAAAAGCCUUGGGCAUGGCUAAGCAUAUGGAGAAAACCUGAGCAUAUCAUCCUCAAGUAAGUACUUAAAUUUACCAUGAAGUUUAUCAUUAAAAAAAAGAUGGGAAACGUUCUGGUUUAUUUCAAAGCUUUGGCCUUCCUGUUCCAGUACAACUUCUGGACUUCCCUCUGGUUUUGCUAUAUGGCUUUUGCCAUUUGACCCAGCCCCAGGUAGCUUAACCAUUAAGCAAGACUGCCUCCACCUUGGCCCCUUAACACAAGGUUACAGUCAGUCAUAUCCCCAAACUCAGAGGUCACUAUUAGAUUGCUAGAAGAUAUACUUCCAAUUCAGCUUGGUGUUAGCUUCAUUUCCACUCAGAAAACAUUUAGAUACUGUAGUUAACACUCCCUGUGAAGGCAUAUGUUAUUCUUCUUGGAUGUCUAUUUAGACCAUUAUAGCUGUUCUCGAAAGAUCUGUAAACCUCAUUUGAACAGGGCUGUCAACCCUUAGUUUUAUAAACAGAAUAGGCCAUGGACUGUGCUGCCUUGGACGUUCCCAUUUUAACAGAGGCAUAAUUAACAUAGGUAUAUUUAACACAGUGAGGCUCAGAGCUUUUCUGAAAUAAGGAACUAACACUAAGGGACAAUGUACAAACCCAAGUCUGUUCUGGAGUCUGUAUGUGAAAGACUUGCCUGAGCAACUGCUCUAAGCCUCAUGUAUUCAACUGUUAGAAAUAACCAGGCAAAAAUGUGAAGAUGACUUUAUUAUGAAAUUUGCAAGACAAUAUUGCUCCUAGAUUUUUACAAGACACCACUCACAGAAAAAAAAUGGCAGCGCUACCCACUCUUAAGGCUGCCUGACAUGUCUCAUUUUAAGAACCUAUUUUUGACUGCUUAUAAUGUAGCUUCCUUGUGUGCAAUCACAGAUUUAACAAAGUGCAUUCUUCAAAAAAUGUAAUUAAUAAAACUAUAUGUA